UACGUAGGGACCAAGCGUUGUUCGGAUUUACUGGGCGUAAAGGGCGCGUAGGCGGCCUGACAAGUCACUUGUGAAAUCUCCGGGCUUAACUCGGAACGGCCAAGUGAAACUGUCAUGCUAGAGUGCAGAAGGGGCAAUCGGAAUUCUUGGUGUAGCGGUGAAAUGCGUAGAUAUCAAGAGGAACACCUGAGGUGAAGACGGGUUGCUGGGCUGACACUGACGCUGAGGCGCGAAAGCCAGGGGAGCAAACGGG
rnacentral:rRNA from 1 species